GGUUUGUGGCUCAGUGGUAGAGCGCUCACCUAACAUGUGUGAGGUCCUGGGUUUGAGCCUCAAUACCA
rnacentral:tRNA from 1 species